rnacentral:piRNA from 1 species
AGAAUCCAUGUGCCUAAAGUCC